rnacentral:piRNA from 1 species
UAGUACUUUGCUUUUUCAUUG